UACGUAGGGGGCAAGCGUUGUCCGGAAUUAUUGGGCGUAAAGCGCGCGCAGGCGGCUGUUUAAGUCUGGUGUUUAAGCCCGGGGCUCAACCCCGGUUCGCACUGGAAACUGGGCGGCUUGAGUGCAGGAGAGGAAAGCGGAAUUCCACGUGUAGCGGUGAAAUGCGUAGAUAUGUGGAGGAACACCAGUGGCGAAGGCGGCUUUCUGGCCUGUAACUGACGCUGAGGCGCGAAAGCGUGGGGAGCAAACAGG
rnacentral:rRNA from 1 species